rnacentral:piRNA from 1 species
UUUAUGGAUUGAAUACUCAUG